CCUACGGGUGGCAGCAGUGAGGAAUAUUGGUCAAUGGGCGGAAGCCUGAACCAGCCAAGUCGCGUGAAGGAUGACGGCCCUAUGGGUUGUAAACUGCUUUUGUACGGGAAUAAAGCGCCUUACGUGUGGGGUUUUGCGAGUACCCGAAGAAUAAGGACCGGCUAAUUCCGUGCCAGCAGCCGCGGUAAUACGGAGGGUGCGAGCGUUAUCCGGAUUUAUUGGGUUUAAAGGGUGCGUAGGCGGAAGGUCAAGUUGGCGGUAAAAUGUCGGGGCUCAACCCCGUCGUGCAGGGGAAACUGGUGUGCUUGAGUGAGCGAGAAGCAUGCGGAAUUCGUGGUGUAGCGGUGAAAUGCUUAGAUAUGACGAAGAACCCCGAUUGCGAAGGCAGCUUGCCGGAGCGGAACUGACGCUGAUGCACGAAAGUGCGGGUAUCGAACAGGAUUAGAUACCCGAGUAGUC
rnacentral:rRNA from 1 species